GAUGAACGCUGACAGAAUGCUUAACACAUGCAAGUCGAUGGGGAAGUGGUGCUUGCACUAUGGUAACCAUGGCGGACGGGUGAGUAACGCGUAAGGAACUUACCUGCGGGACCGGGAUAACAGCAGGAAACUGCUGACAAGACCGGAUAAGGUCAUUAAGCUGCAUAGCUUAGUGAUGAAAGGAGACGCCUGCGGAGAGCCUUGCGUCCUAUUAGCUAGUUGGAGGGGUAACGGCCCACCAAGGCGAAGAUAGGUAGCCGGCCUGAGAGGGUGGACGGCCACAAGGAGACUGAGAUACGGCCGUUACUCCUACGGGAGGCAGCAGUGGAGAAUAGUGGACAAUGGGGGCAACCCUGAUCCAGCAAUUCUGUGUGCACGAAGACGGUUUUCGGAUUGUAAAGUGCUUUCAGCAGGGAAGAAGGAAGUGACGGUACCUGCAGAAGAAGCGACGGCUAAAUACGUG
rnacentral:rRNA from 1 species